GAUGAACGCUGGCGGCGUGCCUAAUACAUGCAAGUCGAGCGAACGGACGAGAAGCUUGCUUUUCUGAUGUUAGCGGCGGACGGGUGAGUAACACGUGGAUAACCUACCUAUAAGACUGGGAUAACUUCGGGAAACCGGAGCUAAUACCGGAUAAUAUUUUGAACCGCAUGGUUCAAAAGUGAAAGACGGUCUUGCUGUCACUUAUAGAUGGAUCCGCGCUGCAUUAGCUAGUUGGUAAGGUAACGGCUUACCAAGGCAACGAUGCAUAGCCGACCUGAGAGGGUGAUCGGCCACACUGGAAAUGAGACACGGUCCAGACUCCUACGGGAGGCGUCAGUAGGGAAUCUUACGCAAUGGGCGAAAGCCUGACGGAGCAACUCCUCGUGAGUGAUGAAGGUCUUCAGAUCGUAAAACGCUGUUAUUAGGGAAGAACAUAUUUGUAAGUAACUUUGCACAUCUUGACGGUACCUAAUCAGAAAGCCACGGCUAACUACGUG
rnacentral:rRNA from 1 species